GAUGAACGCUGGCGGCGUGCCUAAUACAUGCAAGUCGAGCGAACAGACGAGGAGCUUGCUCCUCUGACGUUAGCGGCGGACGGGUGAGUAACACGUGGAUAACCUACCUAUAAGACUGGGAUAACUUCGGGAAACCGGAGCUAAUACCGGAUAAUAUAUUGAACCGCAUGGUUCAAUAGUGAAAGACGGUUUUGCUGUCACUUAUAGAUGGAUCCGCGCCGCAUUAGCUAGUUGGUAAGGUAACGGCUUACCAAGGCAACGAUGCGUAGCCGACCUGAGAGGGUGAUCGGCCACACUGGAACUGAGACACGGUCCAGACUCCUACGGGAGGCAGCAGUAGGGAAUCUUCCGCAAUGGGCGAAAGCCUGACGGAGCAACGCCGCGUGAGUGAUGAAGGUCUUCGGAUCGUAAACCGCUGUUAUUAGGGAAGAACAAAUGUGUAAGUAACUAUGCACGUCUUGACGGUACCUAAUCAGAAAGCCACGGCUAACUACGUG
rnacentral:rRNA from 1 species